UACGUAGGUGGCAAGCGUUAUCCGGAUUUAUUGGGCGUAAAGCGAGCGCAGGCGGUUUUUUAAGUCUGAUGUGAAAGCCCUCGGCUUAACCGAGGAAGCGCAUCGGAAACUGGGAAACUUGAGUGCAGAAGAGGACAGUGGAACUCCAUGUGUAGCGGUGAAAUGCGUAGAUAUAUGGAAGAACACCAGUGGCGAAGGCGGCUGUCUGGUCUGUAACUGACGCUGAGGCUCGAAAGCAUGGGUAGCGAACAGGAUUAGAUACCCUGGUAGUCCAUGCCGUAAACGAUGAAUGCUAGGUGUUGGAGGGUUUCCGCCCUUCAGUGCCGCAGCUAACGCAUUAAGCAUUCCGCCUGGGGAGUACGACCGCAAGGUUGAA
rnacentral:rRNA from 1 species